AACAGUUACUGUUAUAAUGGAGAAUGCGCGAAAACAUAUUAUCACCAGUGUCGCAGUUUAUGGAAUGCUGACGCAAAGAAAGCUAAUGAUAUCUGUUGGUCAGAAUUGAACAGCGCAAAUCUGAGUGGCUAUGGAACAUGUGAUUCAACAAAAAACAUCUCUUGUACCACAAGCAAUGUCAAGUGUGGACAGCUCCAGUGCGAAGCUAGUGAAACAAAACGAUAUUAUAUCAACUAUGGUACACAAUACAAAGAAUUCACAAUUAACGGUGUCAAAUGCACGUGUGUACAUAAGACCUU